rnacentral:misc_RNA from 1 species
AAGUCGUAACAAGGUUUCCGUAGGUGAACCUGCGGAAGGAUCAUUUCCGAAAAAAAAAACAUAAUAACCCAUUAACCCCUACACUGAGAGAAAUGAAGGUUGGAGGAGGAGGAGGAAGGAGGAGGGAGAUUUAUUUCUUUUCUUCUUCUUCUCUUUUCUUUGCUUUCGUUUUUUCUUUUUGUUCAUGUGUACUUGAUAUGUUUAUUCAUAUCAUUUUAGUCCAAGUGUCUCCCCUUUUUUUUUACUCUCGAAGACUUCUUUUUUUGUAAGUCGGAGAGAGGCCAUUGAAGAACCCCUUUUAUCCUUGUCAGAAUACUUAUUUUGAUGUGGAGAAAAAAACAAAUUAAAAGUUAUUUAAUCCUUUUGAAACAUAAAGAAUGAAACAAAUUUAUACGACAACUUUUAACGGUGGAUCUCUUGGCUCGU